UACGGAGGGGGCUAGCGUUGUUCGGCAUUACUGGGCGUAAAGCGCACGUAGGCGGUUAUUCAAGUCAGAGGUGAAAGCCCGGAGCUCAACUCCGGAAUUGCCUUUGAAACUAGAUAACUUGAACGUCGGAGAGGUGAGUGGAAUUCCGAGUGUAGAGGUGAAAGGCGUAGAUAUGCGAAAGAACACCAGUGGCGAAGGCGGCUCACGGGACGACUGUUGACGCUGAGGUGCGAAAGCGUGGGGAGCAAACAGG
rnacentral:rRNA from 1 species